UACAGAGGGUGCGAGCGUUGUCCGGAAUCACUGGGCGUAAAGGGCGCGUAGGUGGCGCCGCAAGUCCAUGGUGAAAGCUCGAUGCUCAACAUCGAGUCGGCCACGGAGACUGCGGGGCUCGAGCACUGUAGGGGCAGAUGGAAUUCCGGGUGUAGCGGUGGAAUGCGUAGAGAUCCGGAAGAACACCGGUGGCGAAGGCGGUCUGCUGGGCAGUAACUGACGCUGAGGAGCGAAAGCGUGGGGAGCGAACAGG
rnacentral:rRNA from 1 species